CCUACGGGAGGCAGCAGUAAGGAAUCUUCCACAAUGGACGAAAGUCUGAUGGAGCAACGCCGCGUGCAGGAUGAAGGCUUUCGGGUCGUAAACUGCUUUUAUAUGGGAAGAUUAUGACGGUACCAUAUGAAUAAGGACCGGCUAACUACGUGCCAGCAGCCGCGGUAAUACGUAGGGUCCAAGCGAUAUCCGGAAUUACUGGGCGUAAAGCGUGUGUAGGUGGAUUAAUAAGUGUGAUGCGAAAUCCGGCGGCUCAACCGUUUGGACUGUGUCGCAUACUGUUAGUCUAGAGGACGGCAGAGGUAAGUGGAAUUACGGGUGUAGCAGUGAAAUGCGUAGAUAUCCGUAGGAACACCAAUGGCGAAGGCAGCUUACUGGGCCACACCUGACACUGAGACACGAAAGCGUGGGGAGCGAACAGGAUUAGAUACCCUGGUAGUCCACGCCGUAAACGAUGCAUACUAUUAGUAUGGGGUAUCGACCCCCUGUGCUGAGAAGCUAACGCGAUAAGUAUGCCGCCUGGGGAGUACGAGCGCAAGCUUAAAACUUAAGGAAUUGACGGCUGAGACGNGCGAGACGACGACGAGGGAGGAG
rnacentral:rRNA from 1 species